rnacentral:rRNA from 1 species
UACGUAGGACCCAAGCGUUAUCCGGAGUGACUGGGCGUAAAGAGUUGCGUAGGCGGUCUUUUAAGCGAGUAGUGAAAUCUGGUGGCUCAACCAUACAGACUAUUACUCGAACUGGGAGACUUGAGAAUGGUAGAGGUAGUUGGAAUUUCUUGUGUAGGAGUGAAAUCCGUAGAUAUAAGAAGGAACACCAAUGGCGUAGGCAGACUACUGGACCAUUUCUGACGCUGAGGCACGAAAGCGUGGGGAGCGA